CCGACACAACCCGCAGUCCCUGGUCGUCUCCCUCGCAUCCUCACUCGUCUCCCCUGCGCGCCGGAGCCCUCCCUCUCGGCUCCCGCUGCGCUGGAGCUCCCCUGCUCGGCUCCCCUGCGCGUCGCCGGAGCUGCCUCGGCCCACAUCUCCACCGCGUUGCUUCCCUCUCCUUGUUCCCUUGCUCGUUCCCCAUGGUGAACCAUGGGAAGGAGAAGGCUCGAUUUUUGUUCUCGAUCUGCUCUCCGACGGCGGCGGCCUUCCCCGAGCUUGGCGAGCUGGAGCUGUCCCUUCCCGUCGUCGAUCUGCUCUCCGCGACGCCGCCUGCCUCCCCGGACCAUCCCCUCUCGCUCAGCCGCGUCUCCCUCCCUGGAGCAGCCGCUCCCGCCCAACCCAAAGCCGCCGGCCGGAGCUACGCCGCAGCACGCUCCCUCCCUCCUCUUCUUGGGGACCGGAUUGUGGCCGAGGAGGAUCUUGCCCUUGUCGCCCAGCAGCUCCCGCUCCAACGGGCUCGUCCACAAAUCCGGCAGCACCAGCCGCUCUUCCCUCUUCCGGUCUAGCCCAUCGACGACGAUGGCUCCUCCUCAUGCUCAUCGGACUCGUGCACAAGUGCUCUACAAGUCUGCAUUGGGUAAAGUCUGAAUUUUUCAUUUUUACUACCGUCAAAAUUCAGUUGACAAAGAAAGUGCCAUCAACAUGUCAGUGGCCAUGCUAGACAGAGUUCUUAUUCAUGUCUAGGCAGAGUUCUUAUUUAUGACAAAACUGGAUGUUUAGACAGAGUUCUUAUUCAUGUCUAAUUGUGUUGACAGAGUUCAAUGUACUCUGUCAAUAGAAUCAAAACUGAUUUAUUACCUUCCCAUAUGAACUUCACUGAAAAAAUCAGUCACCAUUCUGAAUUUUGACAGUACUCUACAAACUGCUCCUGGGCAGGAAGCAGAUACAGUUUUUCUAGGUGGGCGUGGUUUUGGAACAGCCAUGUCUUCUCUAAUUUUGACAGUGCUUGAGUUUAGAGUAUGGUUAUACUUUUGCUUAGGCAGGGUAAUUACUUUUCUUACUGGUGCUCUUGAUUAUGAAGAUGGUCAACUAGACACUAAGAGAUAUGGUGAGCAAUAUGCUAGCAAAGGGGAAGAUGUUGACCUCAUGUUGCUCCCUGAGCAGAUACCUUCCUAUAGAGAUCCGGUUCACAGCAAAAAACUGGUGUUGAAUUCGCCGCCGGCUCCGAGACCUCGACCGGACGGACGGAACGCGGAUUGAAAUCGUUGCUAUGGCGCCGUAUAUUAUAUGCAGUCCCACGUUUUCCUCUUCCUUUAUUUAGCUCUGGCGGCAGCACGGGCAGACGAGCAGCAGCAGUACGGGUAGACGAGCAGCAGCAGUACGGGUAGAUGAGCAGCAGCUGUACAGGCAAAGGAGCUCCACCGGCGGCAGGGGACAAGCAGUCGCACGGGCGCGCGGGCAGGGGAGAAGGAGCAGCACGAGCUUGCGCGGGAGAUUGAGGAAGACGCGCGGGAGAUCGAGGAUCACACGCGCGAGCUCCCGGUCCACUGGAUCGUGGAGGCAGGCUCCGGCGACGCCGGUAGGGGAUCGCGGCGGCGCACGCGUGGGAGCUCCAGCAGGAUGCGCGGGAGCACGAUGGAGGAUGCACGCGAGCUUGAGGAGGAUGCACGGGGGUUCCAGAAGGGACGCGCGCGGCAGGAGAUUCCGGCGAAACCCACAGGCGGCUGGAGGGGACCGUCGGCGCAGGUCUGGGCUGCGGCGGCAGAAGAGGUAAUUGGCAACGACGGCGAGAGCAUGUACUUGGCUACAGCGGAGGAGCUCAGCUGGGCUCGCCGGCCCUUGGCGAAUCACACAGCUGGGCGGCGCCGGCCCCUGGCGACGCGCAGGCGACGGGCGGAGGAAGAAGACGGGGCGGAGGGACUUGUUCGAAACGCUUUUCAAACCAUGAGGUUUUUUUUGUAAAAUAUCCAGUGAACUAUGCCCGCGACAUGUUUUCGGGACGGAGAGAGUAGUAUACAACAAUUUCAGUAUCUGCAAAUCCC
rnacentral:rRNA from 1 species